rnacentral:rRNA from 1 species
GACGAACGCUGGCGGCGUGCUUAACACAUGCAAGUCGAACGGAAAGGCCCUGCGUUUGUGGGGUGCUCGAGUGGCGAACGGGUGAGUAAAACGUGAGUAACCUGCCCUUGACUUUGGGAUAACUUCUGGAAAAUGGGGCUAAUAUCGGAUAGGAGCUCCUGAUGCAUGGGGGGGGUUGGAGAGUUUCGGCGGUGGGGGAUGGACUCGCGGCUUAUCAGCUUGUUGGUGGGGUAGUGGCUUACCAAGGCUUUGACGGGUAGCCGGCCUGAGAGGGUGACCGGCCACAUUGGGACUGAGAUACGGACCAGACUCCUACGGGCGGCAGCAGUGGGGAAUAUUGCACAAUGGGCGGACGCCUGAUGCAGCGACGCCGCGUGCGGGAUGCCGGCCUUCGGGUUGUAAACCGCUUUCGCCUGUGACGAAGCGUGAGUGACGGUAAUGGGUCAAGAAGCACCGGCUAACUACGUG